AUUCGUUAUAGUAGUUAAUUUGCUAGUCCACGGGAUGUUCCCGCCGAAAUUGGACUUCGUUAUUAUGAAUAUUAAUAAAUUAAUAUGAGGUGUGUUUUUAUCAACUUAACCACUUGGUUGUUUUUGCUUCAGAAAAGCAACUAGUUAUAAAUGUAAGGGCUUUUUUGGACAACUUCGGUGAAAAAGUGUUGAUUUCGUAAUUCAGUCAGCGUAACUUAUAUCCGAGAGGUCUUACAGGCGCCACAGACACCUAUCAGCCUUUUGUAAGGAGGAGCAGCUCGAGUGCGGUGCGGUCAGUAGCCCUUCAAAUUAGAAAAGUGAGGAUGAUCUUGUCAAUGCUGAGAUUUUCAUGCAUCAGCAGCCACUACAUCUGGAUCAGAUUGAACAAGAAACGGACAGCAAGGGUUGUCAGAUCAGAAACAGAAUGACACACAAACAAGAAACUUCACAGGCAGAUCAACAUGCAAUUUGAAGACGUGUGAUAAAAUACAGAGAGGUGAAGUAGUGUGUCUUUCCAGAUCCCCAAAUCAUUCCCCCUUAAAAGAUGAGCCUGAAGAGGAGAUUUGGGAAGAUGUUGUUUCAUAAGUCGCUUUGCCAGAUCACCUGUGGUAAGUCGGGAUGUCUGCUAACAAGAUGCCUUGCUGGUCUGAGCGAGUUUAAAGGCUUACACAGACAGUCCAGAAGUUCUGAAGUCCAUCUUCGAUUUCAUUGGACGCUUUAAGGUGUAGAAACAUCUCAGCAACCUCAAGAGAAAUUGGAGGCAACUGAGCUAAAUUGCAGAUGUUGUUGCAAAGGGUCUGAAUAUGUAUAAUAUGCUGUCAUCGUAUUAAGUACAGCAUGAGCCAGAAUAGAUGGGUGGUGGUGGCCAUAAGAAGACUGUCAACUAAACCAACAACAAAAUUCAUAUUUGCAGUUUUUCUUGAAUAAAGUUUUUCUAUUCAGAUUAAUAAAAUGACUUUUAAACAUGA